rnacentral:misc_RNA from 1 species
CAUUUAAUCCCUUCUCCUCAACCUCCAGACAUUUUAAAAUACACCAUUAAAAGAAGAAAACCCAUGAAAUAAGAUCAUCAUUCAAUUAAGAGAAAACAAAGUAUAUAUUACAUAAUAAUUAUAGGACAAGGAAUAUGAUUUUAUAUAUUUGAUGACAUAAGAAAAUGAUAUGAAUGAAAUAUGAAAAUUUACUGAUCAUUAGAAUAAACUCAAAAUGGUUCAAUGCCUCCUUGUGGAAAUUUGUAGUGGCACAAUUCCAAGGAACCAAAAAUAUGGAGGCUUUUUAUAGGAUAUCACAUACCCGUUCAAAUCAUCAAUAAUUAAUUCAUCUACUUAACACAUGACUCAACCCAAGAAUCUUCAUGGUAAAGGGCGUCACUUCUGCUAUGUCUAAUAUUUAUGUAAUUUUUGUGACUAACCACUGAUUGAAGUUUUAGGUUUUAAGUAGAUUGUUUCGAUAGAAUUAAGGUGAUCUAAGAGAGAGAAGCUGCAUGGUUAACUAAGGUCAAGAAUUAUCAAGUCCAAUAAAAUACAUGAUGUGAUGCACUUUCAUGUAUAUCUCUCUGAUACCCCAGCAAAUUUGCCCCAAGAACUCAGAGACCAUAGACCAAUAGUGCAAAGUCAUGUGAUAUAAUUCCAGAAAUUUAUCAACUCCUUUAACUUCAAAAAUAAAAUUCCAGAAAGGCUUUUGGAAACUUUCAAAUGAUACAAUCAUGUUAAAGACAUACACAAAGUUCUAUUAAAUUUAAAAGAAAAAUGAUAAUAGAUUGAUUUUGAUAAUUGAUAUCCUGGCAAUGAUUUUGGAAACAAAUAAACAAAAUUCAGCUCAAACUAUCUAGCAGAAUAUAUAGCAAGUGGUGCAAUUUUGAACUGUAUAUAUUACUUAAACAGGAAUCUUUUUUCACUAAACCAAUAGAAAGGAUAUAUUAUUGAAGGAUGUUCCCUUAGAAAACUCAAAUCAAGGUUGGCUGCAUAAGAUCUCACCAUUUCUUUUUUAACUUGCUCA